rnacentral:lncRNA from 1 species
AGUGGUUGUCGCCGGUAAGGCCAGGUAGAGGUUGCUAGGCCGGUGAUCGGUCGGGAUGGAUCACGAAGGGGAGCGAUUUGUUCCUCUUUUUCUCUGGCGCGGAGAGGACUCGUGAGGAUGGAUGUUGCGGUACGGUGGCUGUCGAGGCGGAGGCGCAGUGGCCGUUUCCGGCAGUUGCCGGCGUCGCUCGAAGGGAGAAAACCCCAACCCUGGGAUGAAUCGCGAAGAGGAAGAGAGAGGGUGUCCGGCGAUAGAGUCGNUGGCCGGACGGUGGUGAGUGUGUCAGCGUCGCCGUGACUGAUCGAUGGGAGCAGCAGCGCGAUGGCUGUCGGGGAGGCAUCUGCCGGUGGUGUUGGGAGGUUGCGUGAAUGGUGGAGUGGGAGGCUUCUAGGGUUUAUUGAGAGGGAAAGGUUUAGCCUCUUAGGUUAGGUUCUGGGUGUUUGAAAUGAGAGGCAAUUUGGGAGACCCCUUAGGGUUUCUGAAGUUGGGGAGGGCUAUGGGCCCUUGGGCCAAGCCCGAAGGCCAGCAGUUCACUUCUGCACCCCNAUGGCUACUAAUUGGCACCACUACAUAAUGGUUUUGAGCUCAUUCAUUCUUUGUACCCCCUUUGCUUCCAUCCGCAACCCCCAUCUCUGUGGGUUCGAGUCCAUUCUGCCAACCAAAAAAUCGUUUCUGCACCCCCAAUUUUGUUGUCUCGCACCCGUUUCAUUUGGACUUGGACCCAAACCUGCCAUUAAAACUUUUAGUUUGUACACCCCUAUUUUCCAUUUUUACCACCCCUCUUUCUACUUGGGCUUAGGCCCAAUCUGUUAUUAAAACUAAAUUGGUUUAAACACCCCUUUUUAUUUAAGUACCUCCACACCCUUUCUUUUUAUUUAUUAGUUUAUUUUUUAUCUGUUUUAUCUAUUAAUUUUUAUUUUGUUUUCUUUAUUUAUCUAUCUUUUAUUUCUUUUUUUCUUUUGCCUCCAUUUUAAAUAUUUAUCUACCUUUUUUUAAAUAUACUUU